ACAUCCAGCGAACUUGGCAGAGAUUGCCUUGGUGCCUUCGGGAACGCUGAGACAGGUGCUGCAUGGCUGUCGUCAGCUCGUGUUGUGAAAUGUUGGGUUAAGUCCCGCAACGAGCGCAACCCUUAUCCUUUGUUGCCAGCGAUUCGGUCGGGAACUCAAAGGAGACUGCCGGUGAUAAACCGGAGGAAGGUGGGGAUGACGUCAAGUCAUCAUGGCCCUUACGAGUAGGGCUACACACGUGCUACAAUGGCGCAUACAAAGAGAAGCGACCUCGCGAGAGCAAGCGGACCUCAUAAAGUGCGUCGUAGUCCGGAUCGGAGUCUGCAACUCGACUCCGUGAAGUCGGAAUCGCUAGUAAUCGUGGAUCAGAAUGCCACGGUGAAUACGUUCCCGGGCCUUGUACACACCGCCCGUCACACCAUGGGAGUGGGUUGCAAAAGAAGUAGGUAGCUUAACCUCCGGGAGGGCGCUUACCACUUUGUGAUUCAUGACUGGGGUGAAGUCGUAACAAGGUAAGCGUAGCGAG
rnacentral:rRNA from 1 species